GAUGAACGCUGGCGGCGUGCCUAAUACAUGCAAGUCGAGCGAACAGACGAGGAGCUUGCUCCUCUGACGUUAGCGGCGGACAGGGGAGUAACACGUGGAUAACCUCCCUAUAAGACUGGGAUAACUUCGGGAAACCGGAGCUAAUACCGGAUAAUAUAUUGAACCGCAUGGUUGAAUAGUGAAAGACGGUUUUGCUGUCGCUGAUAGAUGGAUCCGCGCCGCAUUAGCUAGUUGGUAAGGUAACGGCUUACCAAGGCAACGAUGGGUAGCCGCCCUGAGAGGAGGGUCGGCCACCACGGAACUGAUACACGGUCCAGACUCCUACGGGAGGCAGCAGUAGGGAAUCUUACGCAAUGGGCGAAAGCCUGCCGGAGCAACGCCGCGUGAGUGAUGAAGGUCUUCGGAUCGUAAAACUCUGCUAUUAGGAAAGAACAAAUGUGUAAGUAACUAUGCACGUCUUGACGGUACCUAAUCAGAAAGCCACGGCUAACUACGUG
rnacentral:rRNA from 1 species